AGCAUAAAGGAAUGGAGAAUUUUUUCCCCUUUGCUGCAUUUCUUAAACCCAGAGCUUAAGGGAAGCAAUGAGUUGCUCUCUGCCAUGUAUUUGGGUGGAGACUUGCCCAUUUUGUAGAGGGAGUAUACUGUGGUAUCUGUGCCCAAGUAUGCCUGAUGCUGUCAACUUCAGAACUAUUAAUACUUUAUCUUUCAUAACCACCAGCCUUGCUUCCAAGGCAGGCCCCAAACCAUCUGCCAGAGGAGUAAACCCUGGGUAGAAUGAGACCGGCCAUCCCUGUCACCAAUGCCAACCAGCUGCCACCUCAGGGUGUCUCAAGGACUCCCUCUGGUGAUGGGUUUUCUACAUCGAGGAUAAUGACCUUCUUACACUGGAAAUAACAGAACAAACAUGACAAAAAGAGAGUUGAUACCCGAAAUAAGUAAGGAGAGAUUAAGAGAGCACCUAGCCACCCUUGAUGAGUUCAAGUCACCUGGCCCAAGGCUACUGUGUCCUCAAGUUCUAAUACAAGGGGGAAGGGGGAAAAAAGCAUUCAUUAAGGGCCUACUAUGUGCCAGGCACUGUGCUAAGUAUACUACUUUACAAAUAUUAUCUCGUUUGAUAAGUGGCUGAUACCAUUGCUGAACCA